rnacentral:rRNA from 1 species
GUUUGGGAGGAGUUUACGAACUCCGCGUGGUGAAGGAUAGUGUCAAGAAAAGCUCGUAAUGUGAUGAAAACAUAGUACCCGUACCCGAAACCGACACAGGUAGGGAGGUUGAGAAUACCAAGGGGCGCGAGAUAACUCUCUCUAAGGAACUCGGCAAAAUGGCCCCGUAACUUCGGGAGAAGGGGUGCCCACCUCAGACGUGGGUCGCAGUGAAGAGAUCCAGGCGACUGUUUACCAAAAACACAGGUCUCCGCCAACUCGAAAGAGGACGUAUGGGGGCUGACGCCUGCCCAGUGCCGGAAGGUUAAGGAAGUUGGUCAGGGGUUCGCCUUGAAGCUGACGACCGAAGCCCCGGUGAACGGCGGCCGUAACUAUAACGGUCCUAAGGUAGCGAAAUUCCUUGUCGGGUAAGUUCCGACCCGCACGAAAGGCGUAACGAUCUGGAUGGUGUCUCAGAGAGAGACUCGGCGAAAUAGGAAUGUCUGUGAAGAUACGGACUGCCUGCACCUGGACAGAAAGACCCUAUGAAGCUUUACUGUAGCCUGGAAUUGUGUUCGGGCUUCGCUUGCGCAGGAUAGGUGGGAAGCGAAGAAGUAUCCCUUGUGGGGGAUAUGGAGCUAACGGUGAGAUACCACUCUGGCGAAGCUAGAAUUCUAACCCAUGACCGUAAGCCGGUCAGGGAACAGUUUCAGGUGGGCAGUUUGACUGGGGCGGUCGCCUCCUAAAAAGUAACGGAGGCGCGCAAAGGUUCUCUCAGCACGCUUGGAAACCGUGCGGCGAGUGUAAAGGCAAAAGAGAGCUUGACUGCGAGAGAUACAACUCAAGCAGGGACGAAAGUCGGCCUUAGUGAUCCGACGGCACAGCAUGGAAUGGCCGUCGCUCAACGGAUAAAAGUUACUCUAGGGAUAACAGGCUGAUCUCCCCCAAGAGUCCACAUCGACGGGGAGGUUUGGCACCUCGAUGUCGGCUCAUCGCAACCUGGGGCGGAAGUACGUCCCAAGGGUUGGGCUGUUCGCCCAUUAAAGCGGUACGUGAGCUGGGUUCAGAACGUCGUGAGACAGUUCGAUCCAUAUCCGGUGCAGGCGCAAGAGCAUUGAGAGGAGCCUUCCUUAGUACGAGAGGACCGGGAAGGACGCACCGCUGGUGUACCAGUUAUCGUACCAACGGUAAACGCUGGGUAGCCAAGUGCGGAGCGGAUAACCGCUGAAAGCAUCUAAGUGGGAAGCCCACCUCAAGAUGAGUGCUCUCACUACAUAAGUAGGUAAGGUCACGGGCAGAACACCCGUUUAUAGGCUCUAAGUGGAAGUACAGUAAUGUAUGAAGCUGAGGUGUACUAACAGACCGAGGGCUU